UCGCGUGAACAGAUCGCUCGGUUCUGCAAAUCUAGAAUUCGUCGCUCGUCGCCCGGAAGUGCUAUGAGCGACUAGCCAAUAGCGCGAAGCCGGAACUGGAUGUACAUAACUCAAGUACUUCCGAUUGUCGCACGGAACGAGCAAACGAUUGAAUUUUUAUACGUGCAAGGAUAAGAACCUACUGCAAAACUUGCAGAAAUAUUUUAUGCUGCUUUUUACAGUAAAAUACAUCAACUUAAGUUAAUAAAGCACGCGUCACGCUAGUUUCGGCGCCUAUAUUGCUGCCCUCAUACCGGCAACACUGGAGAGACGUCGCUCGAAGUCAUCGCUCCAUAGAGUUACUAUACUGCCUCUAGAGGACAAGCUACCCAUAGGGCCCAUGCAUUGAAAUCGGGAACCGCAAGAGCGCCGCCAUGUUGCUACGCGCCGAGGUUGCCAGCUCCUGAGACGCUUGCUAGACUUGGUGGCAGUAGUCAGUUUUAAUCCGGCAACCGUAGCAGCGUAGCAGCAUGGCGUCUCGCUUGUAGUGUCGCACGGAGGAAGGAAACUAAGGAGAGGCCCUGACGUCACUCUUUGUGAAGCAAAAGUGAAGCCGGAAUUUGGCGUUGCUCAUGGCGAUGCUCCGCCUUUUGGGCCACCCUCCUCUCUUGUUUACAUCUUUCGCGAAACCACGCCGCGCUGCUCGUGGUGCCGCGCGCUCGCGCAACAUCUGGCAGAGCACGGUGCAGGUAACACAGCGCAACAAGACACGGUGACUAACGCAAACCCGCCCACUCAGCGCCUUUGCCACGGCCCGAAACCUACCAGAGCAACACGUGUGAGCGCUCAAAACCAUAACAACGCCGCCAUUGUGGCCCAAAAGGCGUGGCCAUACAACAAAAACAAAAAACAAAAAAGCAGCAAAAAAAUGAGAACCUACUACGUCAUUUCCGCCACACUUUUCUCCUAGCGCGCGGAGGGGGUAGGGCCUCUCCUUAGUUUCCUUCCUCCGUGUAGUGUCGUGAUGUGUGCUUGCAGCCGUGUGUUUGGGCUUUAUAAGUUGGUUCUUUAUUCUAUGUUGCGGGACGGUGUGGGUGUGGUCCAUGUUGGCCGUACAGGUGGCAUUUAUGCAACCGAGGGAUGAUCCUGUUGAAGUUUCCGGCGGUAUGCGGUUUUCAGCGGUCACGCCUGUUGCAGGAGUGUCACUCGACGAGGUUACGAGCUUGAAGCUGUGGUCAGAUUCCUCGUUGGCGUUCCGUAAUUCUCUUCGCACGGACGCGGGAUCUGAUGUGCAUAUCUGCAGUUUAUGGAUACAUGUAAAAGACUCAGCAUCAAGUGCAAGUGAACGGUCCCACAGGCCCGGAGUCGAUCAUGCAAAUAGAUUCGCUGCACACAUUUGUGACCAGAAAAGAUAUGCCACAUGAAAUGGCAUGCAAGGAAGUGUUGAAAAUAUUGCACAGUUAAUAAAACGCCUACGCUAUUAAUAUGUGGGUUGAUGCACUCGUUAUGCAAAACGGAGGUGAGGCGUGCAGACAGGACACAAGAGUAGAGUAUUUACAAGCAAACAACACGAGCGCCGCCCACUUCUCUACUCUUGUGUCCUGUCUGGACGCCUCACCUCUGUUUUGCAUAAUGAAUCCUUACCAACUAGCUCAGCUUUCUGUCGUUCUAAGUCUCGAUGCACUCGAUUUCGUCCGCAUUAGGCACUCGCCUCUUGAUUACUUCGUGGCGCAGAAAUACUCGGCAUCAGGCUGUUUUUCUGCUGUGGCCUUUGUAGAAGCAUGAUUGUUCAAAGUGCAACAAUUAAACAGAUUCUUUGAGUU